AACGAACGCUGGCGGCGCGCCUAAUACAUGCAAGUCGAGCGAGAAGACGUAGCAAUACGUUUGUAAAGCGGCGAACGGGUGAGGAAUACAUGGGUAACCUACCCUCGAGUGGGGAAUAACUAGCCGAAAGGUUAGCUAAUACCGCGUACGCUCCUUGGACUUCGGUUCAGGGAGGAAAGCGAUACCGUGGGUAUCGCGCUCUUGGAUGGGCUCAUGUCCUAUCAGCUUGUUGGUGAGGUAACGGCUCACCAAGGCUUCGACGGGUAGCUGGUCUGAGAGGACGAUCAGCCACACUGGCACUGCGACACGGGCCAGACUCCUACGGGAGGCAGCAGUAAGGAAUAUUGCGCAAUGGGCGAAAGCCUGACGCGGCGACGCCGCGUGGGGGAGUGAAGGUCUUCGGA
rnacentral:rRNA from 1 species